AUUAUAAUGUUUAUAUCUAUGACGUAUACAACCUGUUUAUCCAGAAACCUAACCUUAUUUUAUACAUAUAUAUGCUGGAACUGAAGUAUUAGUCUAUGGAAGGUUCGCUCUGUAUGACUACCAAAAUAUAUAUGCGCGUCAGUUAACCGUCAGUGCGCAUGAGGUCGCGUUUAUACACGUAGUUUGAAAUUCCGGCAGCGUCAGUCGCCACUGCAUCAUGUACGCUUUUAUAAUUAAACUCUGUUUAGUUACGCCUAGAUGGCGCUGUAGCGACCACUCAUAUGUGUUUAGAGAUUAGGAUGAUUGCAUCUCUUCUUCUACGCUCCCUAAUAGGAGAUAAGGUAGGCAAGGACGAACAGACAAGGUACAAGGAAUAAAGAUAAUACUGAGUGCUGAUUGUGACUGAAUAAUAUUAAACUAUGUACAAGAUGACUAGGUCUGUUCGCACCGGCGGCCAGGCCGUGACUGAUUCACGAAAGUGACUAAGCUUCCAUGUUCCCCUCGCGCUCGCCACGCCGUGGUGCUCUACUAGGCGGCGCGUCGGUCUGGCACAGACUGCUGGCAGAAUAUAAUAAUGGAAGAUAAUAAUGAUACCUCAACUGAUGAUACAGAAACUGUAUCAUCCAAAGAUGUCGAACCGCUAUCGAGGAGAAGCAAAAGUUCUCUCAGUUCGCAGUUACAAGUAUUGAAAAUAGAGAAUCGAAAACUUGAAAAAACUAUUGCCACUAUGUACAAAGAGAUGGGUACAGCUAAAUUGGAAUCCUACGCACUACUGAAGGAUAUGAAAGAAACACGACAAAUUUUAAAAGAGAUGAACCUUACUUGCAGAAAAUGUAAUGAGAUGGAUAUCAAGAAAAAAACAAUGAGAAGCUAUUUAAAAGCUUAGAAGACAUCGUAAACAUUAGCUUUAUUUCUCCAUUUGAGAUAUACUCACCAAGGAGACAAGUACCCCAAGAAAAGCUCCCAAGGUUACAUCCGAACCAUUACCUCAAAUACAAUCAAGUUUUGAGUAAGAUUUGGAUGAGCCAUUUACUAAAGAAGUUAGUCUACUUUUGCCAGAGAUUACCGUCAUUGAAUCAAGGAAUGCGGACUCACCUACAGAUGAUGAGGCAGAGAUGGAAGCUGAUCACAGUAGUCAGAGCGUUAAGGUUGAGAUAGCAACUCGGCUGCUCAAUAUCCGACAAAAAGGACCUGCUUCAAAAAAGAUGUAUCUGCCGCAUCCCAGAAACCAUCAGUGCCUCAGGACCCAUCUAUCACGUGCUUAAGUGUGUUAAAAUUUAUAUUUAUUACUGUUUUUUAACAUAAGAAACCAGCAGAAGUCGUCUCCGACACCGCCCCUAAAGUCGAUAUUGAACACGGCGUUCAGCUUUCAGCAGCAAUCGUUGACAAAUUGUGAAAUAAAGAUCUGCGAAACUUACUAUUGGACUUAUGUAACGCACUUUUUAGAAAAGAGGAUUUUGCAAUAUCUUUGAUGAGCAGCAAAAAAGGCCGCUUGUCGUAUAGUGCAAAACCAGCAAUAUCAAGCUAUGCUGCUAAAAGUCUGCCGUCGGAGACCAAAGAAAAUAUUGAAAAGACUCUCAAGACAAUUUUGUGUGACAAAUGUAAAAACGCAGCCAAGGAGAUAAAAAAAAGGAAUGUAAUGAUAUGAAUAUAAUUUAUAUAGAAUUAGUUCAUUAAUA
rnacentral:lncRNA from 1 species